rnacentral:lncRNA from 1 species
CAGAAUGUUCUUCGGCAGACUGUUGGGCAUGGGGGGAUUGGUUGGGGGAACCCUGGGGAGAGGGCACGAGGCUCUGAGUUUGAGUUUGAGAGUGGCAGACUGAAAGCUUGGGAGGGUGAGAGAAUACACGAGGUUGGAGUGGAAGACCUGGAGCUUACACUUGGGAAUGGGAAGAUGCAUAGUUAAGCAUCAUCUACAGGAAUGUGUCUAUGAAUGAGAGGGAAGACCUUAUGUGGAUUUCACUGGGCAUUUCGAAUACUUUGGCAACUGAUUAAGCAUUGCUUGGUGUCUACUUUCACUUCUAUUACAAAUUUGGAUCACUUCAAAAUCAUUUUCGGUGCAUCAUGUAUUUCCUUAAAUGUACAGUGUACUCUCU